GCGGGAAUGGCGGAAUUGGCAGACGCGCUAGAUUCAGGGUCUAGUGGUCGCAAGAUCGUGCAGGUUCAAGUCCUGUUUCCCGCACCA
rnacentral:tRNA from 1 species